GGGUAGAGCACUGUUUCGGCAAGGGGGUCAUCCCGACUUACCAACCCGAUGCAAACUGCGAAUACCGGAGAAUGUUAUCACGGGAGACACACGGCGGGUGCUAACGUCCGUCGUGAAGAGGGAAACAACCCAGACCGCCAGCUAAGGUCCCAAAGUCAUGGUUAAGUGGGAAACGAUGUGGGAAGGCCCAGACAGCCAGGAUGUUGGCUUAGAAGCAGCCAUCAUUUAAAGAAAGCGUAAUAGCUCACUGGUCGAGUCGGCCUGCGCGGAAGAUGUAACGGGGCUAAACCAUGCACCGAAGCUGCGGCAGCGACGCUGAUGCGUUGUUGGGUAGGGGAGCGUUCUGUAAGCCUGCGAAGGUGUGCUGUGAGGCAUGCUGGAGGUAUCAGAAGUGCGAAUGCUGACAUAAGUAACGAUAAAGCGGGUGAAAAGCCCGCUCGCCGGAAGACCAAGGGUUCCUGUCCAACGUUAAUCGGGGCAGGGUGAGUCGACCCCUAAGGCGAGGCCGAAAGGCGUAGUCGAUGGGAAACAGGUUAAUAUUCCUGUACUUGGUGUUACUGCGAAGGGGGGACGGAGAAGGCUAUGUUGGCCGGGCGACGGUUGUCCCGGUUUAAGCGUGUAGGCUGGUUUUCCAGGCAAAUCCGGAAAAUCAAGGCUGAGGCGUGAUGACGAGGCACUACGGUGCUGAAGCAACAAAUGCCCUGCUUCCAGGAAAAGCCUCUAAGCAUCAGGUAACAUCAAAUCGUACCCCAAACCGACACAGGUGGUCAGGUAGAGAAUACCAAGGCGCUUGAGAGAACUCGGGUGAAGGAACUAGGCAAAAUGGUGCCGUAACUUCGGGAGAA
rnacentral:rRNA from 1 species